UACAGAGGUGGCAAGCGUUGUUCGGAAUUACUGGGCGUAAAGGGCGCGUAGGCGGCCUUCUUAGUCGGACGUGAAAUCCCCAGGCUCAACUUGGGAACUGCGUCCGAUACUGGAUGGCUUGAGUGCGGGAGAGGGAUGUGGAAUUCCAGGUGUAGCGGUGAAAUGCUUAGAUAUCGUCAAGAACACCUAUAACGAAGGCAGCUUACUAGGCUGUAACUGACGCUGAGGCACGAAAGUGUGGGGAUCAAACAGG
rnacentral:rRNA from 1 species